rnacentral:rRNA from 1 species
GAUGAACGCUAGCUACAGGCUUAACACAUGCAAGUCGCAGGGUAACAUGAGGAAAGCUUGCUUUCCUUGAUGACGACUGGCGCACGGGUGAGUAACGCGUAUCCAACCUUCCCAUAACUACGGGAUAACCCGUUGAAAGACGGCCUAAUACCGUAUGAUAUCGUUUGCUGACAUCAAAUAACGAUUAAAGGUUUAGCGGUUAUGGAUGGGGAUGCGUCUGAUUAGCUUGUUGGCGGGGUAACGGCCCACCAAGGCAACGAUCAGUAGGGGUUCUGAGAGGAAGGUCCCCCACAUUGGAACUGAGACACGGUCCAAACUCCUACGGGAGGCAGCAGUGAGGAAUAUUGGUCAAUGGGCGAGAGCCUGAACCAGCCAAGUAGCGUGCAGGAAGACGGCCCUAUGGGUUGUAAACUGCUUUUAUGUGGGGAUAAAGUGCGUGACGUGUCAUGCAUUGCAGGUACCACAUGAAUAAGGACCGGCUAAUUCCGUGCCAGCCGCCGCGGUAAAAGGG